rnacentral:rRNA from 1 species
UCUGCCCGCUGGCGGCGUGCCUAAUACAUGCAAGUCGAGCGAACAGACGAGGAGCUUGCUCCUCUGACGUUAGCGGCGGACGGGUGAGUAACACGUGGAUAACCUACCUAUAAGACUGGGAUAACUUCGGGAAACCGGAGCUAAUACCGGAUAAUAUAUUGAACAGCAUGGUUCAAUAGUGAAAGACGGUUUUGCUGUCACUUAUAGAUGGAUCCGCGCCGCAUUAGCUAGUUGGUAAGGUAACGGCUUACCAAGGCAACGAUGCGUAGCCGACCUGAGAGGGUGAUCGGCCACACUGGAACUGAGACACGGUCCAGACUCCUACGGGAGGCAGCAGUAGGGAAUCUUCCGCAAUGGGCGAAAGCCUGACGGAGCAACGCCGCGUGAGUGAUGAAGGUCUUCGGAUCGUAAAACUCUGUUAUUAGGGAAGAACAAAUGUGUAAGUAACUAUGCACGUCUUGACGGUACCUAAUCAGAAAGCCACGGCUAACUACGUG